rnacentral:lncRNA from 1 species
CGUUGAAUUACCGUAAACAAGUAAAUUGUAGAAAUAUAAAGAACACGGUUGUUUGAUGACGGAGAAACCCCAAUAUGGGUAAAACUCCUGGCCCAGCCAGUACGAAUCCAUUACAAACGAAAAUAUCUCUUACAAUACAUCAAACUUAACCCACACUAAUUUUUUUGACCUCUUGAUUGUCAUUUUCCAAAGCCCUCCUAGAAUGCGUGAUCCUAUACCAACUCCCAGCUCCAAGCCUCCUGGAUUGCGUGCUCCUACACCAAUUCCCGACUCUUGAUUUUAUCUAUCUCCUGUAGAUUUCUAAGAACUCCCCGUUCUCCAAUGAUCGGAGCUCUAAUCUCCUUCCUUGAUCUUCAAGUCUCAACAAAUGCUCUGGAAGGAUUGGUUAUAAUGUUUGAUGAAAGUGGAUUUGAUAUUUUUAUGUAAGUAUACCAGGAGAAUGUGGGAUUGAAUGAGUAGAUCAAAGUACAGAAUAGUUUUUUCAAGUUCAAUCCUCUCUGCUUCCCGUUCCUGUAUGCAUAUCUAAUUAAUUCCAACAACCAUGUUUAACUUCUCCCCUAACUGCCUCUUGUCUUUUG